rnacentral:rRNA from 2 species
GACGAACCGAGCGAACGUUGUUCGGAAUCACUGGGCUUAAAGGGCGCGUAGGCGGGUCUGCCAGUCUGUGGUGAAAUCCUCCGGCUCAACCGGAGAACUGCCUCGGAUACUGCGGGUCUCGAGGGUGAUAGGGGUAUGCGGAACUAUCGGUGGAGCGGUGAAAUGCGUUGAUAUCGAUAGGAACUCCGGUGGCGAAGGCGGCAUACUGGAUCACUUCUGACGCUGAGGCGCGAAAGCCAGGGGAGCAAACGGG